rnacentral:lncRNA from 1 species
ACUCCAUUUGGACUACAACAGCAUGUCUGGGGAGCUGCCAUCAACCUUGAGCAACUGCACAAAUCUCAUAACACUUGACCUUAAGAGCAACAAUUUCAGUGGUGAACUCAACAAGGUCGGUUUCUCCAACUUCCCCAAUCUAAAAACCUUAGAUCUUAGGCUGAACAACUUCAGUGGCACAAUUCCAGAAAGCAUAUACUCAUGCAGAAACCUGAUUGCACUACGGCUGUCUUCAAAUAAGUUCCACGGACAGUUAUCAAAAGGACUCGGCAAUCUGAAAUCCCUCUCCUUCCUGUCGCUCGCAAACAACAGUUUUUCAAAUAUAACAAAUGCACUUCAGAUAUUAAGAAGCUCCAAGAACCUCACCACCCUUCUUCUUGGGAUGAAUUUCAUGAACGAGAUCAUGCCAGACAAUGCCAGAAUUGAUGGUUUCGAGAAUCUUCGGGUUUUGGCAAUUGAAUAUUGCCUAUUGUCGGGGGAAAUACCUUUUUGGAUAGCAGAGCUAGCGAAUUUGGAGAUGUUGUUUUUGGAAGGUAAUCGACUCAGUGGACCAAUACCAGCCUGGAUCAACACAUUGGAAUACCUUUUCUACUUAGACAUAUCAAACAACAACCUUACAGGAGAAAUUCCGACAACAUUAAUGGCUAUGACAAUGCUAACUUCAGAGAAGACUGCAGCUCAUUUGGACCCAAGGGUCUUUCAUCUGCCAGUUUAUCGUGGUCCAUCACUUCAAUACCGCAUACCAAUUGCUUUUCCUAAAGCUCUAUACCUAAGCGGAAACAAAUUUACGGGUGUGAUUCCUCCAGAGAUUGGUCAUUUGAAAGCCCUCACUAAACUCGAUAUCAGCUUCAACAACUUGACAGGACCGAUCCCCCCAUCCAUCUGCAAUCUCACAAACCUGCAGUUGCUAGAUUUAUCCAACAACAAUCUCACAGGUGAAAUCCCAGCUGUAUUGGAGAACCUGUACUUCCUUGCCGUAUUCAACGUUUCUAAUAAUAAUCUCCAAGGGCCUAUCCCAACUGGCGGGCAAUUUAAUACAUUUCCAAAUUCUAGCUUUGCUGGGAAUCCAAGGAUGUGUGGACCUGGGCUUAAUCACCAUUGUACUUCGGUAGAGGUAGGUCUUGCGCCCACUGGCUCCAGAGGACUGUGUGGUGGCGACAUCGUCUUCGCUGUAUCCUUCAGUGUUUUCAUUGGAGUAGGAGUGCUAUAUGAUCAGAUGGUACUAUCCAGAUACUUCGGCUAGGAAAAACUUGCUUCAGCAACGUGUCCUGGAUUGAAGAAUGAAUAUAGGCACUGGAUGUAAUCAUGCAACUGAAGCUCUCAGCAAACAACGGGAACUUUGUAAGAAGUUAAUACCCAUAUAGAAACAUGACGUAAUCUCCAGUGUUUUUGCUUGAGCAAGUCCGACUUCGUUGGUCCAAAAACAUAAUCCUGCAAGCAAAUUCAGGAAUGGAGCGUUUACUGUCAGUAAACAGAGCAAUAUAUGUAUCUACAUCUUUUCCAGAGCACGGUAAAUAUUUUCAAAGUUUACUUUCACAUGUGUGAACACACGUGCUAAUCAGAUUGCUUAUCGAGGUGAAAAUAUUUGCUUUUUACAGUACACUCUCAAAGAAAUUAGUAGCUCAGAUUGUUUGUUUGGGUGUAGACUACUAGUAGUAGCUUAUAAUCCAAACUUAUCAUCCUAAUAAUUUGUAGAGGCGUGAGAUAACCAGCCGGUUUGGUGUCACUUAAUCGCACCUAAUUACCAAUUAUACAGGCAGGGCGAGCAAGAUGGAAAUUGACCUAAAACUAAAUUCUUCCAUUUGGCUCGAGAAUUUCAACAAAUGGUCGGAAGCAUCGCGCAGACAGUACCAAACCGUAAAUCUCCGUACGUAAACCUUGGGAGGGAGCAGAGCGGAGAGGUCGCCGAACGUACCACGCCAUCGGGCGCCCUGCAGAGCCGGGUCCGCCCCGGCCCCCCCCCCCCCCCCAGCCCCGGCCUUCGUACGCCGGCGCGCGUGCCCAUUUCUUCACCGCGCCGCCGCCCGCCGAUGCUGCUGCUCCGCUCUGGGACUUGGGAGGCGCCUGCGUGUUGGGAGAUGAUGAACUUGGGCCGGACCAUGAUCGGGGCGGGGGGACAUAGACCGAGCCGUUUUAGAUAGCAUCUUUGUUCGGCCUGCGAGGCGAGUAUUUUGAGCUGCUGGUGGUCUCUCGUUACAAACUGGGCCGCUUGCGGAGCAGUUUGGUCAUGAGGAGACUUUUCUUUCUUCAUAUUCUUUUUCCUUUUUCUAGGACCAUUGGCCAUCAAGCCUUCAUAAGUAUAUAUUAUUUGAUUUAGUACUUUUAAUAAUUUUUCUUCGAAACACAUUACGGGUGAAAAAACUGAUACACGCAUCACUCGACCCCUACGACUAAAUCCGCGCACACCAACCGUAAUUUCCUCGUGCGCUGCGCCCAGAUAGGGUCCCAUCGGAGGCGUGCGUGGCGAUUUCCUCACGCGUCGUCGCGAGGAAAUUAAGGCUAUGUUGGGUAUAACUUCAACUUCACAAUUUUUUUUUCUCCAAUGUCAAACUCUACUUGAGCUUGCUUCGAGUGGAAUUGGAGCCGUGUGCCCGUGGGCAAAAAUCUAGUAGGGUGAGGAUACGGGUGCCAUUUUGUAACUAUAGGUACGGAUCCAGGUUUGAGUUUGUGCUUGCGGGUAAAAAAUUAGCGGGUAUAAAAAUAUCUUACUCGUGCCCGCAAACCCGCCUACCAUGUGGACCAUGUGCAAGUAUAUAAUGGAUUUUUCUAGAGUUCCGUCUACUCCUUAUCCUCCCAUUGUCCCGCAGCCUGCAGCCUCCGCUCGGCCGCUCCCACUCCCGCCGAGGCGCAAACCUGCACCAUUGGUUCCCUGCCGCCCGCCCUCGCCCAGGUGGCCGCCGCUAGUUCCCCCUGCUACCCGCCCUCACCCAGGCGGUUGCCGCCAGUUCCCCAGCCGCCCGUCCUUGCCCAUCGCUUCCCGCCGCCCGCCCUCGCUCCCCGCUGCCACCGCUCCGCCCGCCCACCUCCCGCCGCCCCAACCGCUGGUCAAUCCACUCAGUUUUCUUCCUUCUCUGUGAUCUGGCUUGAAGAAGAAAUUGAAUAUGUGAUCUGGCUAUGAUUAAGAUGUGUAGGUUAUCUGUGAUCUAGCUACUGGCUUGUGAACUGUGAUCUGGCAGGUACCGGUGUGCCCAUGGGUAACAGGUGCGGGUACAAGUUCUUUCCCGUGACGGGUCACGGGCACAGGAUUUGCUUCGCUGACGCGAGUUUGUAAACCCUCUGCCUGCGGGUAAUGUGCCCGUUGCUAUCCAUAGGCUGGAAUGGUGCUCUUUGCUUCACAAAAGAGAAUUAACCUUCGUGUGAGCUAUUCUUUCUCGGUCCUGUGAAGUGGUUUAUCAGAUGAAAUCCGACGGACUGCCGAGUUAACUUGAUUAAAGCACAUGAUCGCGUGUUAGGCGACUUAAUUGUGCUUUAGCUAAGUUAAUUAGGGCGGUUCCGCCACAAUUUGUUCUUUUUUAUUUUUUCCUUUUGCGCUUAUCUUCUUCGUCGGGCCCUUCGAGGGUCGCCCGCGACCCUGCUCCGGCGAGGUUUUGAUGGCUCCGCUAGGGGAUGAGGGUGGCGGUGGUGGUGGGAUGGGGACGCCGGUGGUGCGGGAAGGGCUCGGCAGGAGGCAGCGCGGCUAGGGCGCAUCGGCGGGGGCAUCAGCGAGGCGAGGUAAGGCACGUGCCGACAAGCUUGGGGUGGGCGGAGUCGGGCAGCGAUGGAGACGAGCUUGGGCCGUGCGGCGUCAGGCACGGGGACGACGAGCCUAGGGUGGGCAGAGUCGGGCAGGAUGACGAUGAGCUUAGGGCGACGGUGGGCAGCUGGAUCUGGGUGGCGUCCAGGGUCCAGCCAGGGGCGGGGAAAUAGUGGCUCCGCGGAGUCCCUGGUCCUCAGAUGCACGGCGGGUGAGAGAGGGAUGGCUCGAGCAGCAAUCUGGUCAGGUGGGGGUGGUGGCAGUGCCCUUGACCCCCUGCGCGGUGAGUCGGGAGAGACGAGGGGGCGGAUGGGUGAGAGAGGAGGCGUCAGAAGAAUGAAAUUAGAACGAAUCGGUAAUGAGCCAUAAAGGUGGGUAAAUAACCCUGAACUUCGCGUCUAGAUCCAUAUUUGAGCGUUCUGGAGUUGCAAAUUCAGUGGGGACAAGCGAGAGCUCCGACUCCGAGUGCUCCAACGACGACGAGUGCUCAGACGACGACGAGGUCCUAAGCAUCGCGAUUGGGCGGUGCGUGGUGAUCCUGUCGGAGGUGCUGGAGAGCUGGGAGGCCGCGGAGGAGCGGCGCGGCCACACGCGGCAGACACGCCGCGAGGCCGGCGAGCAGUGCGUGGCUUUGCUCAUCACCGCCGUCAACCAUUGAGGAGAACGGGAGCUGUAUCACUCAUUUGCGCUGGGAGCCGAGAUGCAGGGAAGGGGAACCAUCGCACCUGGAGAGCUGAGCGAGCCUUGUCCUUGCAUAGAGCCGCGUCCAUCAGAGUGCUGGAAGCCGAGUCCAUAGAAAUCGUCGGAUCGCUGGGACGUCCACACAUCAGCCAUCCAAUGUGGGUCCGCACGGGAGGAACUGUGCGCACUGUCCCCACUGAAUUUUCUUCCGCAAAUAAGGUGCUCCACAAAAAUUCUAUGGAGUUAGGGCGUGUUUGGAACUACUCCGCUCCAGUUUUUUCAGCUCCGCUCUCAAACCACCUUGCCAAACACCUCUAACUCCAACAAUCCCAACUCUAGAAAAAAGUGGAUCUGAAGGGCAACUCUAAGGUUUUUCUGGUAGGUUUCAUACCUUCUCUUGAAGUUGGGUGGAAAUUACCGACCAAUGCUACUGGUUACACAUGCACGUACCGGUUCGACGGAACAAUAGAUCAACGCCCCCUCCUACCCCCGACUGUUCAUCGACACCCCCCUCCCCUUCCCUCUCGCGACUGUUCUGUGCAGCCGCCGCCUCCUCCCCUCCCUCCGGCGCCCAAAAAACCGGCGGCAUGGACGUCGAUGAUGAUGCUCAACCCCUUUCCCCCAUCAUGGCACCGCGACGUCAAGCCCCAUGACAUCCUCAUGGAUGCCGCCAAGAAGGACGAUGAGGAGGACGGUGUUGAGGGCGAGGGAGAGGCGGCGCCAUGCACACGGCUGGCGGACUUCGAGUCCACGGCGUGGGUGGGCAUGGGGGCCUUGGCCACGCGGAGGGGCUGAUGGGGACGCCCCACUACGUGGCGCCCGAGGUGGUGUCUGGUGGCGAGUACAGCACCAAGGCCGAUGUGUGGAGCGCUGGGGCGGUGAUGUACGCACUGCUCUCCGAUGGCGCGCUCCCCUUCAGCGGUAAGAGCGCCGCGGAGGUGCCGGCGGUCGUGAUGCGGGGUAGCGUGCGGUUCCUUCCCAGGCUGUUCGGCGGCGUGUCCCCGGCCGCCAAGGACUUGAUGAGGCGCAUGAUCUACCGCGACGAGUGGAGGAGGUUCACCGCUGAGCAAGUCCUCGAUGAGUAAUCCCCUCAACCCCCUCUCUCUGCUCGGUUUUCUCAUCAAUCUCCGUUUGUUUUUGCGUCGACCCCAAGUUCGAUCCAGGAAUCUAACAAAUCUGCCGUUGUUAAUAUUGCAGCUCACCCGUGGAUCGUGAGCGGCGUUAGAGCCCGUGCUGUAGGGUAGCCAACCUAAAGCGACACACACCAACAGACCAUGGCGGAUGGGGCAUGUUAACAUGUAUCGUCGUAGAGAUACAGCCACGAACACUGACGUUGUGUAUACGGUUUUGUACGUAGGAACAGGGACCAAGGAGAGUGACGAAGAGUUUGUAUGCUGCUGCCGGCUGCAGCUUAGCAUCGUGCGGUGCCGUUGCAGCAAAGCAUGUCGAUCGGCGACAAAGCUUUUACUCUAUAGGUUUUUCCAGUACCUCGAUCUUCAUGCAAAAAAAAAAAAUUAGAUGAAGAACUGUAGCAAAUAGGUACUGUAGCUCAUGCAGAAAACACCAACCCCAACCAAGGGCAAGAAAGACUAUUUGCACCAAUUCUCACAAUUUCUAGAGCUGAAGUUUACACCGUUAGCCAAACAGGUUCAUAGCUCCUUAUUUUCCUGGAUUUGGUGGAGUGAAGCUAAAAAAGGUGGAGUUAGUGGAGUAGAGCUAUUUUUUCUUGGAGGGGAGCCGUCCCAAACAUACCCUUACAUUAUUCAAAAAGUGGUGGAGUUAACUUGUUUAGCUGGCUCCAUUCAACUCCGGACUAAAAUUUAAAUUCGGAGCCAUACAAAUAGGACAUAACCCCACAGUUUUUUUUGAAAAUAGGAACUCCCACAUUUCAAGCAUGGCUUGUUAGCUGAAACAGUCCAACGCGUUGAUCACGCGUUCCAAACAUGGGCGGAAGCCUGAAGAUGUCCAAAGGUAUGGGCCCGCAUGUCAGUACAGCAGCAGCCCGUUUCGUUCGUCCAGCUGUGACCGGAUGGGCAAAGCAGGCUGCAAUUACGGAUGGUGGUGCAUUUGGAUUUUCAGACUGAGUCGUGCUGUCGCGUUGUGGUGGGGUCAAGUUUCGAAAGUCUGAACCUGUAGUUAUGGACGUCGCCACCUCGCUCUUCCCCGUUUGCGAGGAUGGAUACAGAUGUCGGAAUAUUCAUUUUAAUGUGAGUAUCAAAUGAAUAUAUUCGAAUUUGAUUUUCGGUAUUUUUCUCUACUCGGUUCCAGAUUCAACUCAAAAAACCGUCUUGCUCGCGGAGGAACUACAAUGGCACCCACCUUCCCCCCACCGCCGCCCCGCCGCCCACCGCCACCCCGCCCCUCGCCGGCGACGACCGGACCCCCCUCGCCCCUACGCCUCCUCCGCAGAUCACCACCCCACCAAGCCCCCCUGCAGCCAUGCCCCCCACCACCAACCUCCCCACGCGCACGUUCGUCCUGGAAGAAGUUCUUCUCCCCGUCCCCGCCUCCACCCCCCCGCGACGGCCGACCACUGCCCCUCGACGAUGAGUGGGUGCCGGAUUCGCCAGAUCCACGCGUCCCCUCACCUGAUCUGCGGCUUCCGACGGCGGAUCUGGUGCCGGAGUGCCACCCCGGAAGGCGAAGGUCCUACGCGGAGGUUGUCAAGGGGGAGGCCUUCAAUUCCCCCACCUAUCCUCCCGUCCGGCGCUCCAAAGAAGUCCACCAUGGCCCUGCCAGAGGAAGAGGCAGUUACUCCGGCGACGCGACUGCUCUACGGCGCAGUCAACACACCACGACGUCAGUGGCUCACCGGGCCAAGCGCGACACGACACCGGGGCUCCAAACGCGUCAACCGGAUCAAGGGUGGCAGCCAGUGACGCGCCGUUAGGCGCAGGAGCGGGCGCCGCCCGAGAAGCCGCAACGAGACGGCGGACAUGACCGCCACUACAGGAGCUCUUCAAGGAAGCCACCCACCAAAGCUCUGCUCGACUUCAACCGCGUGACUGCGGGGCGAUGCUUCAUCUGCCUCGCACCUGACCACCGUGCCGCCUCCUGCCGUGACCCGGUGCGCUGCUUCCGUUGCAGACGCUUCGGCCACAAGGAGCGGGACUGCAAGGACAGGAUCGCCGCUUCCUCCCCAUCCCGCCCCAAAACCCCUACCAGCCACCGCCCUGUUCCCCCCGCGCCACGCCCAACUCCCAAGCCCCGGCCACGCAACCACGCCUCCGUCUCCACCAUGCCGCGCACCUUGCUCACAUCAGCUGCCCCACCUCUGCCGCCAAGCCGCAAGACCACCAGCAACAUGGCCAUUGGCGACCCCCACACGCGCCCGGAGGUCGAGACGAUCUUCGUCUCCGAUUCCUUCCACCUCGAGCACGACGCGAGGGAGUGGGAGGCAUGCGCCCUCAUCCCAUGGGCGCUACAUCUGCCGCCAGGUGCCGGAGCCUGGGACAUCGCGGGGCUCAUCAACAAGGAGCUACACCUGCGCCCCGGCGAAGUCAACGUCACGCUUCACCAGCCGGAACCGUACCUCGUCCGCUUCGACAGUGCGACACGGGCGGCGGAAGCACGGCGCCGCGGACGCUUCACUGGUGGGGGAAUCGACAUCUGCCUCCGGCCAUGGCGCAGCCUCUCCCACGCCCUCGGCUUCCGCAUCUUCUACAGGGUGCGGCUUUGCCUCGACAGCAUACCGAGCCACGCCUGGACGCCGGAAAUCGUCAAGCGCGUCAUCGGCCACAAGUGUGCAUUGCAGCACAUCGUCACCGACCUCAUCCAACCGGCGGACUCCAGGCACAUCGAGCUCUGGGCGUGGACGGUGGACCCGAGCGAGAUCCCGAAGAAGGUUUGGCUUGCUUUCGUCCACAACCCGGUAACCAAAUCCUCCACCUUCUCUGUGUCGGCCGAACCUCCUCUAAUGUCUUGGCAGCAAGGAGCCCGCUAUGAGGUCUUCAUCCAUAUGCCCCUCCUGGAGGACUACACGGCGGCGGCGCGCAAUCUUCAGCAAGCCGUCAACGACCCGGAGAACAUUACUCCGAUUCGUCGUCGGUACGAAUGGCGGUAUGGCCUUGUUGAUGGCGCCCCAUCGGACGCGAGAUCGCGCUUCCCGGCUAGGCUGCCGCGGCCACCGCGAGAGCCUGAUUCUCGGACCCACGACGACCACGGCGACAGAAGGAUGGAGGACCAGCGACGCGGGAGGAACGGAGCCUCUGGUGCCGCCGCCGGCGGGCGCGGAGUCUCCGGUGAAGGCGAUGCGGCUGGCGGCGGACACGGGCGGGGACGACACGCUCGCCAAGACGACAGGAGCCGCACCAAGCUCCGGACGGCCCGACAAUCCUGCAAAAGUGAUUUUGUCUGGCCGUCCCGGCGCGGGGGCGACGACGACGAUGAGCACCCGGACUACGACCACCCAGGCCAUGGACGCAAGUUCGGCGACGCCUACUGGGGCUGCACGGAUACUGGGCACCACGACCGCACCAGGUCACCGCCCCGCCGCAACUACGCGCCGCCACAAGGACGACAUCAUGCAAUCGGCGCGCAGGAGCAGAGCAUCCACAACACGUCCCACCUCCGAGCUCUGUUCCAGGCCCAGGCGACCGCGAUGAUGAAGAACAACCAGGUAACGACACCCACUAACUGUCUUGCUCUGGAAGCCAGGAACAGGGACCUCCACGCCGACGACUACGCACGCAAGAUCUCCUGGCUCGCCGACCGCCUAGGCUUCGACGACACACCCUCGGGGGAAAAAGCCUGGUCCGCAACCAUCCCGCUGCCCCAAGUCUUCGGCACCCUGCGGGCGGCACUCCUUCCGGCGACGCCAUCGCCGGGGGCGGCACUUCUCCCGGCGACGCCAUCGCCAACGGUGGCAGACAUCGAACGGGCGCUCGACGCCAUGUCUGUCGGCAUCGAGCAGGCCACAGCAACAGGAGGCCGCGCCGACGACCAAAAGAGGGGGCCGCUGGCUGCUGGGCCAACGGCUCAGGAGACGCCCCAGCUGGGCCACCGGCCCACAUCACAUGGCCCCGGCGCGACCUUCGCUGAGGGGCCGACUGCGACCGGGGCCUCCGUCCGCCGAUCCCCCAUACCGGGCCGCUCGCCAACGACACCGAUCCAGAUGGCGACGCAUGACGGCCCAGCGGCACAGGGAGCCCCCUCCCCGCCGUUUGCUGGGUCGCUGGCCCAUGCGGCCACCUCUGCAGAACGGGCAACUCGCCAGGUCGGGCCCAAGGACAUGGGCUUCAACGAGCAAGCCGGUCAAGAGAGCCCGCUGAACGGGCAGAGGGAGGAAGAGUAGGAUCUGAGGGAGAUUAAUUCCCUCUUUUGCAAUCCACCUCCACCACUGCUCCAGGAGCCGCACCCGCGUCGCCAACGUCAACGCCGCACCUUCGACAUGACAGCGGUUCGAAGGAGUGCACGACUGGCUAGGAAGCCAUCCAUCCCGGUGACCGAGAAGGCGCAAAGGAACUUAUGCCGCAAGCUGGGACUAACCACUAAAGAAAGGGCACCAAUUGACGAGGUCCUUCGCGACUUCCUGUCAAUGUUCCAAGGACCCAUCCCGGAGAACAUAGUGGCAGCCCUGACGGCCAUCUUUGGGUUGGACGAUGAAGGCGCGGACAUGCUAGGAGACGCACUCAUGAACCACGCAGGCACGGCCGCGGCGGAGCUACAGCAGAUUAAUGGGGACCCCACAGCUUAGAGCGGCGACAACAACUUCGAGCGUCCACCGUCACUACAUGUCGUUCGUCCUUAUGUUUGUAUCACCAACUGCACUGCAAAGCCCUGUUGGCUGCGACCUUCGGGCUCUUUAUCUUCCACGCCCUGCUGGCUUCGACCUUCGGGCAUUUAUUUGUAUCACGAACCUACGAACUGCCGUACACCUAGGGGGGUCUGCUGCCCACGUCGUUCUUAGGCCACGCCUAACAACAACCACAAACAGCACCUUUUGCAUAACCGCCGAAGAACUUAAUCGACCAAAACGCUGCAGCGACAUAUACUACAUGAGGCCGAAAACUGCUUUAUGACAUACGGCAACUUGGACAUUUUAUCGUGGAACGUUCGAGGACUAAACGCGGCAGCAUGCUGCCUACCCGUACAUGAUCUGAUGAGAUCGACGUCGUGUCAAAUUGCAUGCCUUCAGGAAACAAAACUGCAAUCCAUCGACUCCAGCCUGGCCGCCUUUCUAGGAGCCUACAAAUUAAACGGCUUUGCAUAUAAACCGGCGAUAGGCACGAAAGGAGGGAUCCUCCUCCUAUGGAACGACACGGCGGUACAAACUCAAAACAUAACAAUUGGUAGAUAUUCCAUAUCUGCGGAAAUAACAAUCCGGCAUUGCAUGACCACCUUCAAGCUGACCGUGGUAUACGGCCCGGUGCGACGACCCGAAAAAGAAGCUUUCCUAAGACACAUGCGACUGCUAAAACCAUCUGACGACACAAAAUGGAUAAUCCUAGGGGACUUCAAUUUAAUCUACCGUGCAAGAGAUAAAAACAAUAUGAACCUCAACCGGCGGCUUAUGAACAGGUUCAGAAACACCAUCAACUACUGCGGCUUAAAGGAAUUAAACCUGCAAAAUAGAAGAUUCACAUGGAGCAAUGAACGUAGGACACCAACGCUUGUCCGUCUCGACAGAGUUUUCUGCAACCAAAGCUGGGACCUCCAAUUUGAUAAUUGCCUACUGCACGCGCUAUCAUCAGCCCACUCCGACCACUCUCCUCUACUACUAACCAACCAUGCCACCCUCCGACGCCCGACAACCUUCAAAUUCGAAAACUUCUGGGUACGAUUGCCAAAUUUUCAACAGGUCGUCUCCACGGCUUGGAAUAGGCCGACUCAUCAUACGGAGCCUUUUCACAGACUGGGCCAUAAACUUUAUGUGACAUCGCAGGCGCUAAGACGCUGGAGCGAAUCAAUGCUAUCGGACGUAAAAAUGAAGAUGCAUAUGGCUCGGGAGGUCAUACUACGUCUCGAUGAGGCACAAGACAACCGCGCACUAUCUGCGGCGGAAACACAACUAAGGGGCAAACUCAAACAGAGACUCAUGGGAUGGGCAGUCAUCGAGAGAGCCAGGAAAAAGCAAUGCUCCAGAGUCACAUAUCUAAAAGAAGGAGAUGCCAACACAAGAUUUUUCCAUUUAAAGGCAAACGGCAGGAGGAGAAAAAACUUCAUUCAAAAACUAAGUAACGACAAUGGCUGGGCCUUCACCCAUAACGACAAACAACAAAUCGUGCAAGACCAUUUCCAAAAUGUUAUGCAGGAACCGCCGCGCAGAACGCUCGACUUAAACUGGUCCGCUCUAACCUUCCCGACUGUCGACCUGUCUACGCUCGAUAACCCGUUCAUGGAAGACGAAGUCCGACGGGCUGUCUCACAGAUGCCAAAAAACAAAGCGCCCGGACAUGACGAUUAUACAGGACUCUUCUUCACCACCUGCUGGGAGACGAUCAAAGGUGACCUCAUGGCGGCAAUAUCUUCCUUCUUCAACUCUCGCUGCACAGAUUUAAACCUACUCAACAAAGCCACAAUCAUUCUAAUACCCAAAAAGGAAGGGGCUGAGAGCAUAGCAGAUUACAGGCCCAUCAGCCUGAUCCACGCGAUUGCGAAGAUCAUAACAAAGACCUUAGCCCUGCGCCUAGCUCCAUUCAUGAACCAAUUAGUCUCACCGUGCCAAAGCGCUUUCAUCAAAGGAAGAAGCAUUCAUGAUAAUUUCCUCUAUGUCCAAAACCUGGCACGCCGAUUCCACACACACAGUCAACCGACCCUGCUUAUGAAGCUCGACAUAUCCAAGGCUUUUGACUUAGUACGAUGGGACUACCUCCUCACCAUGAUGCAACGCAGAGGAUUCCCACCAAAAUGGAGAGACUGGAUCGCGGCUAUCCUGACCACGUCAACAUCACGAAUUUUACUCAACGGACUCCCCCUAGAACACAUACAACAUGGAAGAGGACUCCGCCAAGGGGACCCGCUCUCACCGCUACUUUUCAUCCUAGCGAUAGACCCCCUACAGUACCUGCUAUCGGCCGCCACGGAAAAGAGACUGCUUCAAAAACUAAAUAACCGUGCGGCAAAAAUGAGAACAUCAAUGUACGCUGACGACGCGGUGAUUUUCAUUAAGCCUACUACAAGGGACGUCACAAAUCUGAAGAACCUCCUGCAAAACUUCGGGGAAGCGACAGGCCUCAAGACGAACAUCCAAAAAACUAGCGUCACACCGAUAAGCUGCUCCCACACUAACAUCCCAGAAGCGCUCCGCAAUCUCCCUGUGGCACAGAGGAAUUUCCCGAUAAAAUACCUGGGCCUUCCUCUAACGGUCGCACGACUACGCCGUAUAGAUUUCCAACCACUGAUCGACAAAGUGGCGAGCAAACUGUCAAAGUGGAAGGGAAGGAACCUCACACAGGCCGGUCGAUUAUGCCUCACCAAAUCCGUCCUAUCCUCACAGCCCGUCUACACCCUAACGGCCCUCAGAACGCCCAAAGAAGUACUAGAGGACAUCGACAAAAUCAGAAAACAUUUUCUAUGGGCGGGAGACAACGAGCUCACCGGGGGAAAAUGCAAGAUCAACUGGACAAGGACAACUUUACCAAAAGAGCAUGGCGGCGUGGGUAUUCUAGACCUUCAUAAAUUCGCAAGAGCACUCCGCCUCAGAUGGCUAUGGCAUGAAUGGGCUUCCCCGGACAAGACGUGGGUCGGAACCGCAACUCCAUGUGACGACCAGGAUAGACUGCUUUUCGCUGCAUGUACGACGAUCCAAAUCGGCAAUGGGGACAGGACACGAUUCUGGCAGGAUGCAUGGGUAGCAGGCCGACGACCAAAAGACAUCGCUCCACAACUCUACGCAAAAACCAAAAGGAAGAAGAAGACAGUGCGAGAGGCAAUCUACAACAAUAACUGGAUCAGAGAUCUUCAGCUCACAACAGGCCUUACAAAGACCUAUGGCCUCUAAUCCAACAAUACCAUUUAAACCCGACUCAGGAGGACGAAAUCACAUGGAAAUUCACCCGGAGCGGUCAGUAUACCACUGCUUCAGCAUAUAAGGCCCAACUCCUAGGCACCGUGAAGACGACUAAUCUUGCAACAGUGUGGCAAGCCUGGGCACCAGCAAAAUGCAAAGUUUUUGCCUGGCUAAUCCUCCAAAAUAGGGUCUGGACUUCGGACAGAUUAGCAAAACGGGGCUGGGACCAAACCCCAACAUGCACCCUGUGCCGAUGCACGAUGGAGACCGCGCACCAUCUCCUAGCCGAAUGCAGAUACACAAAGCAAAUCUGGAAACUCGUAGCCCAAUGGUUGUCACAGGAAAGCCUGCAACCGGAUCAAUGGAAGCACAGCAUAACGGCCAUAAAUUGGUGGACCAAUAUCACAUCAACAACAGGAAUCCCGCGUACAGCGUCCCGAAGCCUCGCCCUCCUUAUUAUGUGGGAAAUAUGGAACGAGCGAAAUUCACGUAUCUUCCGCCACCAGGGUUCCCCGACGACCUCGCUAGUAGCAAAAAUCAAAUCUUCAACCAACAUGUGGGUAGCAGCGGGAGCGAGAGGGUCCUUCUUUUAUAAACACAACACUCUGCCUCUCUAUCCUUUUUCCUUUUUUCCUUUUUCCCUCUUCCUUGCCUGGCUCGCCGGCUGUAACCCUACUCUAUCAAUGAAAUAGGCACACUCUCGUGCCUUUUUCCUUUAAAAAAAAUAUUCGAUAAAAAUGUAAAAUAUCCUACGUUAUCCGUAUCCGCAAAGAAUAAAAUAGCCAACAAAGCCAUCUAAAACUUAUUUAUAUUACUAAAUACUAAUUACAAAUAAUUUUAAUUUUAAUAUUGCUAAUAAAAUAAUUAUUUACACCAUUUAAACUAUUAAAAAAUGAUAGAGUUUACUUAAUUUUAAUAUUACUAAUCAUAUUAAUUUUAACUACAUUAUAUUAUUUAUUAAAUGAAUAAAUCAACAUUAAAUGUAUUAAUGAACUUAUUUUUAUAUUAAGUGAUAACAAAUUUUAUGUAAGUCUCUCUCGUUGCCUGACUGCGUGCGCGACCUGCCUGCCUGUCCUGGCUGCAGUCUCUCUCGUUGGCUCUGAACCUGAUUAGCGAUAACAAAUUUUAUGUAAGUUAUCGCAUGCUACAAAUAGGUAUGAGUAUCACGAAAACAUUUUUAAAAAAUAAAGCGUGAAGAAAGAAACGAACCGAGCACUAUUGUGCAACAAACAAACGGACAAACCAAGAGGGAUGCAUGCAAUGCCAGCUCAGCACCUUCGCCAGCUACUAGUAGAGUAAACAUCAUAUCCUCUUCUGUGAGUUCUCGGAGCCUCAUCAGACGACACUUAGCUGUUCUGCAAUCAACGUCGCAAGGAAAGUACAGACACCCGAAAUCCUGCAACACCCACUAAAAACCAAUGUGAAAUGCAAAACCGCGCCCACUAAGCAAGUAGUAAGCACCAUCAACAUAAUCACGACUAGUCAGUAGAAUAAGAUUACACACCAAAAAAAGAAGAGAUUUUUAGCAUCACGACCUCGGGUCAAGCCGAGGGCGAUGACUCAGACGACGACUAGGGCGCCAGGUCACCCUCACUCACCACCUUCCAUUACCCUGCGCCUUUUUCUUAUUUUCUUGCUUCCACUUGCGCCUUCUAUUUUUCCAAACAAUGGCCACACUUUGACAGCGCCGAUGAUUGCUCUAAAGUAUUGUACGCACCUCCCGGAAAUGAUACUCUCCGUGUACUGAAUCUUGCAGAUCUUCAGUUUCUCGACAAAUUCACUCCUUUCCUGUUCACCGAAAAGGGUGCAUCAUCCUACAAAACAAAUAGUGCAUCACAGACUGAUCCUUUGUCAGUACUAAUACUAUGGUUAAGACAACAGGUUCGUUAAGUGAAGCUGGUAGGACAAGUGAUGGCAGAUCAUGUGAUCAUGUAAAAUAUGAGGGUGUUUGGAUACCCCUUGCUAAACUUUAUCACCUGUCACAUUGGAUGUUUGGAUACUAAUUAGAAGUAUUAAACAUAGUCUAAUUAUAAAACUAAUUACACAGAUGGAGUCUAAUUCGUGAGACGAAUCUAUUAAGCUUGAUUAGUUCAUGAUUUGACAAUGUGGGAGUCUAAUUCGCGAGAUGACUCUAUUAAGCUUAAUUAGUCCAUGAUCUGACAAUGUGGUGCUACAGUAACCAUUUGUUAAUGAUGGAUUAAUUAGCCUUAAUAGAUUUGUCUCGCGAAUUAGACUCCAUCUGUGUAAUUAGUUUUGUAAUUAGCUUAUAUUUUGGUCCUCCUAAUUAGCAUCCGAACAUCUGAUGUGACCCUGCUAAAGUUUAGCACCUCGUAUCCAAACAUCCCCUAGCAGGCUGUGCGUUAUGUGUGACGUCACUAUAUCACAUCAGGCUGUGCGUUAUGUGUGACGUCACUAUAUCACAUCAGGUAAAUCACGGCAGUGAUUCAACAAGGAUUGAUUCGAGGAUGACUAGAAAAAGCAAAUAUUUCGUAGGGUCAGUUGGACUUCUUUUAUGGAUUAUAGCAGGUAGCCACCAAUGAAGCAUACAAGUGUGAACAACAAGCUGCUGCUUUGCCUAUUCUAUACUGCAUUAAAAACGUACAAUGAUAAUGAGGAUUCUCCUAUAGUAGCAUAUGAUCCUUGACUUCAUUUUUUCUUUGUAGCGACCACGACUAGAAGGGAUCAGCAAGAUGGAGGCAGGAGCCACCUCCUUCUUCUACCUUAUGCUCUUCCCUGAUUAGACUCAGAACAUUGGUAUCUCAUCUAGACAGGAAACAAGUUAAGCGUCUGGUUUCCAUGCUACUUUCAACAGGAAGCCAUGCAGCCACUCCAAUUUCCAUACAAGAACUACAGCAGUAGGUUACCCAUACCUUCCCUUGGCUUUGCUGCUCUGCUGCUGAUCUCUUUGGCCACCCUCACCAGCUCUUGCACAGAGCAGGAGAAGAACUCCCUCCUCCAGUUCGUCUCUGGGCUCUCACAGGAUGCUGGCCUUGCAAAGUUAUGGCAGGUAGACACAGAUUGCUGCAAUUGGGAAGGCAUCACCUGCAACGGAAACAAAACAGUUAUUGAUGUCUCUCUAGCAUCUAGAGGCCUUGAGGGGCACAUAUCACAAUCCCUUGGGAACCUCACCGGACUGCAGCAGGUAAACUUGUCCUACAAUUUGCUGUCUGGUGGCCUGGCGCUGGAAUUGGUGUCAUCCAGCAGCAUCAUUGUCCUCGAUGUGAGCUUUAACCAGCUCAACGGAGACCUGCAUGAGUUUCCUUCUUCAAUCCCUGGACGGCCUCUACAGGUACUUAAUAUCUCAAGCAACUUGUUUACUGGGCAGUUUACAUCCACUACAUGGAAGGGGAUGCAGAAUUUGAUUGCACUCAAUGCCAGCAACAAUAGCUUUACUGGGCAUAUUCCAAGUCAUUUCUGUAACAUAUCACCAUCCUUUAGUGUGCUUGAACUCUCUUACAACAAACUCAGUGGUAGUAUCCCCCCAGGACUCGGCAAUUGCUCCAAGCUCAGAGUGCUCAAGGCUGGGCACAAUUACCUCAGUGGGACUCUCCCUGAAGAACUCUUCAAGGCUACCUUGUUGGAGCAUCUUUCUUUUUCCAGCAAUGGUUUACAAGGGAUACUUGAUAGCACGCAUAUAGUCAAACUCGGAAAAAUGGCCAUCCUUGAUCUUGGAGAAAACAAAUUCAGCGGAAUGAUUCCGGACUCCAUAGGUCAGCUCACGAGAUUGCAGGAACUCCAUUUGGAGUACAGCAGCAUGUCUGGGGAGUUGCCAUCAACCUUGAGCAACUGCACAGAUCUCAUAACACUUGACCUUAAGUGCAACAAUUUCAGUGGUGAACUCAACAAGGUCGGUUUCUCCAACUUCCCCAAUCUAAAAACCUUAGAUCUAAUGUGGAACAACUUCAGUGGCACAAUUCCAGAAAGCAUAUACUCAUGCAGAAACCUGAUUGCACUACGGCUGUCUUCAAAUAAGUUCCAUGGACAGUUAUCAAAAGGACUCAGCAAUCUGAAAUCCCUCUCCUUCCUGUCGCUCACAAACAACAGUUUUUCAAAUAUAACAAAUGCACUUCAGAUAUUAAGAAGCUCCAAGAACCUCACCACCCUUCUUCUUGGGUUAAAUUUCAUGAACGAGACCAUGCCAGACAAUGCCAGAAUUGAUGGUUUUGAGAAUCUUCGGGUUUUGGCCAUUACAGAUUGCUUAUUGUCGGGGGAAAUACCUUUUUGGAUAUCAGGGCUAGUGAAUUUGGAGAUGUUGUUUUUGCAAGGUAAUCGACUCACUGGACCAAUACCAGCCUGGAUCAAUACAAUGGAAUACCUUUUCUAUUUAGACAUAUCAAACAACAGCCUUACAGGAGAAAUUCCGACAACAUUAAUGGCUAUGCCAAUGCUAACUUCAGAGAAGACUGCAGCUCAUUUGGACCCAAGGGUCUUUUAUCUGCCAGUUUAUUCAGGUCCAUCACUUCAACGCCGCAUACCAAUUGCUUUUCCUAAAGCUCUAUACCUAAGCGGAAACAAAUUUACGGGUGUGAUUCCUCCAGAGAUUGGUCAUUUGAAAGCCCUCAUUUCACUCGAUAUCAGCUUCAACAACUUGACAGGACCGAUCCCCUCAUCCAUCUGCAAUCUCACAAACCUGGAGGUUCUAGAUUUAUCCAACAACAAUCUCACAGGUGAAAUCCCAGCUGUAUUGGAGAACCUGUACUUCCUUGCCGUAUUCAACGUUUCUAAUAAUAAUCUCCAAGGGCCUAUCCCAACUGGCAGGCAAUUUAAUACAUUUCCAAAUUCUAGCUUUGCUGGGAAUCCAAGGAUGUGUGGACCUGGGCUUAAUCACCAUUGUACUUCGGUAGAGGUAGGUCUUGCGCCCACUGGCUCCAGAGGACUGUGUGGUGGUGACAUCGUCUUCGCUGUAUCCUUCAGUGUUUUCAUUGGAGUAGGAGUGCUAUAUGAUCAGAUGGUACUAUCCAGAUACUUCGGCUAGGAAAAACUUGCUUCAGCAAUGUGUCCUGGAUUGAAGAAUGAAUAUAGGCACUGGAUGUAAUCAUGCAAAUGAAGCUCUCAGCAAACAACGGGAACUUUGUAAUAGUUAAUACUCAUAUAGAAACAUGACGUAAUCUCCAGUGCUUUUGCUUGAGCAAGUCCGACUUCGUUGCUCCAAAAACAUAAUCCUGCAAGCAAAUUCAGGAAUGGAGCGUUUACUGUCAGUAAACAGAGCAAUAUAUGUAUCUACAUCUUUUCCAGAGCACGGUAAAUAUUUUCAAAGUUUACUUUCACUUUUGGAACACACGUGCUAAUCAGAUUGCUUAUCGAGGUGAAAAUAGUUGCUUUUUACAGUACACUCUCAAAGAAAUUAGUAGCUCAGAUUGUUUGUUUGGGUGUAGACUACUAGUAGUAGCUUAUAAUCCAAACUUAUCAUCCUAAUAAUUUGUAGAGGCGUGAGAUAACCAGCCGGUUUGGUGUGUAUAGUGUGUCACUUAAUCGUACCAAAUUACCAAUUAUACAGGCAGGGCGAGCAAGAUGGAAAUUGACAUAAAACCAAAUUCUUCCAUUUGGCUCGAGAAUUUCAACAAACGGUCGGAAGCAUCGCGCAGACAAGUACCAAACCGUAAAUCUCCGUACGUAAAACUUAAGCUAGGAUCUUGCCGGUGAGCGAUUGCAAUCCUUUACCUUGGGAGGGAGCAGAGCGGAGAGGUCGCCGAACGUACCACGCCAUCGGGCGCCCUGCAAGAGCCCAGCACCCCCCCCCCCCCCCCCCCACCCCCCACCCCCCGCGCGCCCCCUCAGCCCCGGCCAUCGUACGCCGGCGCGAGUGCGCAUUUCUUCACCGCGCCGUCCCCCGCCGAUGCUGCUGCUCCGCUUUGGGACUUGGGAGGCGCCUGUGUGUUGGGACUUGGGAGACGAUGAUGAACUUGUGCCGGACCACGAUCGGGGCGGGGGGACCCAGACUGGGCCGUUUUAGAUAGCAUCUUUGUUCGGCCUGCGAGGCGAGUAUUUUGGGCUGCUGGUGGUCUCUCGUUACGGACUGGGCCGCUUGCGGAGCAGUUUGGUCAUGAGGAGCUUUUCUUUCUUUCAUAUUCUUUUUCCUUUUUCUGGGACCAUUGGCCAUCAAGCCUUCAUGAGUAUAAAUUAUUUGAAGCGUGACUUCAGCGAUUAUACUAGCGCCAAGAAACUAUUCUUCUACCAUGCAAUGCACCGUGAUCAAGAAACUAAAAUAGUACUGCCUCCCACGGAACUCCACAUUUGAAAUAAUAUAGUACUGCCUCAAUAGUACUGCUAGGACAACGUUUUACACAAUUCGCCCAUCUACCGUCUUCUGGUGCAAGUGGUGGCAUCCUCGUCGCGUGUAGAGGCCCGGAAAUCUCCUGCACCACCGUGCACAUUGGCCGGUUCUCUGUCACGGUUAACCUCACCCUGGGAGUGACGGAUGAACAAUGGAGUCUCACCACAGUAUAUGGGCCGCAACCGGAAGCUGACAAGAUCGAGUUCCUCGACGAACUUCGAUCCGUUCGCAACCUCGUUACGCCGCUAUGGGUUAUAACAGGAGACUUUAACCUGAUCCUAAAUGCUGCCGAUAAAAAUAACGAAAACCUUAACCGAAGAAAUAUGGGCCAUUUCAGGAGGUUUGUGGAUGAGAUGCAGCUGAAGGAUUUGUACCUACACGGACGACGCUUUACGUGGAGCAACGAGCGUUCGAACCCAACCAUGGCUAAACUUGACAGAGUCCUAGCGUCAGUAGAGUGGGAGAUGAAGUUUCCUGGUGCUUUUUUACAAGCGCUAUCUUCAGAUAUGUCUGAUCACUGCCCUCUCCUCCUAGCGACAAAUGCCUCCUUCAGUGCCAAGCCUCGAUUCCACUUUGAAGCCUGGUGGAUCAAGCUACCAGGGUACUUGGAUGCGGUGCAACGUGGUUGGAAGUGCCCCCAUACAGUUUCAGACCCCUUCACCAUUCUUGACCUUAAGCUGAAAAGCACGGCGCGCGAGUUGCAAAGUUGGAGCCAAUGUUGUGUCGGCCAAAUCAAAUCACAACUCUUACUAGCCAGAACCUUGGUCUCCUGGUUGGACAGGGCGCAGGAGGGGCGCCAACUCACAACUAGUGAAGCGAAUCUGAGGAAUGAACUAAAAUGCAAAAUCCUCGGUCUGUCUUCCCUCGAGAGGACAAUGGCAAGAUUAAGAUCAAGAAUGAUCUACCUGAGAGAUGGGGACGCUAAUACCAAGUUGUUCCAUAUGCAGUGUGGCCACAGAGCUAAGAAAAAGUUCAUCCCCCGACUGGAAUACAAUGGUGUCCUGGCACUCACACAUGAUGAAAAGGAACUAAUGUUCCACAAAUAUUUUUCCGAAAUAUUGGGUUCCCAUGUGCAAAGAACAGACUUCGUCAACUUGCCUGCCCUGGGUUUCCUACCAACAGACCUUCAUCACCUAGAGGUUCCUUUCACUGAAUCUGAAAUCUGGAGCACAAUUAAAAUGAUGCCUAAUGAGAGAGCACCGGGGCCUGAUGGGUUCAUUUCAGAAUUCUAUAAGUCUGCUUGGUCUGUGGUAAAGGCUGACGUUCUGGCUGCUUUCAACGCCUUCUAUAGGACUUCCUGUGCACAACUUCACAAGUUAAACGGGGCCCUGAGGAUGCUAGAAAACCAAGAGAGUACAGGCCUAUAAGCCUCAUACACAGUUUUGCUAAGCUGGUUGCUAAACUCCUAGCUAACAGAUUAGCCCCUGAACUCAGUAAGCUGGUGGACGUUAACCAAACUGCUUUCAUCAAGCAACGGUCUAUUCACGAUAAUUUCAAAUUUGUUGAACAGGCUGCUAGGACUUUGCACAGGAAAAAGAAACCCUCCUUGCUGAUCAAACUGGAUAUUGCAAAGGCAUUCGACACAGUAAGCUGACCCUUCUUGCUGCAAGUGUUAGAAUCCAUGGGUUUUGGGCUUAGGUGGAGGAAUUGGAUAUCAGUCCUUAUCUCAUCAGCCUCUACGAGGGUACAACUCAAUGGAAGACCAAGACCCAUAAUUCAUAAUGCUAGAGGUUUAAGACAAGGUGACCCACUAUCGCCAAUGCUCUUUAUUCUCACCAUGGAAGUCCUCAACCGGCUACUGAAGAAAGCUGCCCAGGAUGGUGUCCUUGCCCCACCAGCUGACAAUGCCAUACAUUACCAAUGCUCUAUCUAUGCUGAUGAUGUGAUUCUCUUCGCAGCACCAAGUGUUCAGGAUGUCACCACUAUCCAGGAGGUGCUCAGGUUCUUUGGACGAGCAUCUGGACUUCAUACUAACCUAGGCAAGAGCUUGAUAACCCCCAUCUCAUGUUCACAGGAACAGCUCGAUAGAAUUCAGCCUAUCCUACCGAUCCCCAUCUUAGAUUUUCCCAUCCUUUAUCUGGGGCUGCCUCUAUCAGUCACGAAACUGAAGAAAUGUCACUUUCAACCUUUGAUUGACAAGGUUUCAGCAAGCAUGCCAGCUUGGAAGGCACCUUUAAUGAAUAAAGCCGGAAGGCUUACCACAGUGAAGGCGGUAAUGAGCUCAAUCACAGUCCAUACCUUCAUCUCUUUGAAAGUUCCAGAAUGGGUAUUGCAGGAAAUUGACAAGAGACGUCGGGGCUUCCUCUGGGCCGACAAGCCUGCAGCGUAUGGUGGCCAUUGCCUGGUGGCCUGGCCAUAUGUCUGCAGACCGCUCGCUUAUGGAGGGUUGGGCAUCCCCGACUUGCGCAUCGCAUCGCUAGCCUUGAGAAUGAGGUGGCUAUGGCUGAAGAAAACGGAUCCUGGUCGUCCAUGGAAACAUAUGCAGCUCGACUUCGAACAGGAUAAUGAUCUGAAAAAACUGUUACAAGCUUCGAUUCAGGUACAAGUAGGAGAUGGCAACUUAGCGUUGUUUUGGGUCGAUAACUGGAUGGGUCAGGCCUCGUCGUGUACCUUGGCUCCGGAAUUGUGCAACUUGAUCAGGCCAUGAAUCAAGAAUCGACGGACAGUAGCGCAGGGGAUGCACCAAAAGCAAUGGAUUCAUGAUAUUGUCGGACACCUAACCGUAACUGCGUUAACUGAAUACGUCACCUUAUGGCAUCACUUACAGCAGGUUCAGUUAACGCCCGGGGUUGAAGAUUCGGUGACUUGGAAAUGGGAUAUCUCUGGUUCUUACUCCUCUAAAUCGUUAUGCAAGUUCUUCUACAGCACCUCCGUCAAGUUUGCUGCAGCAGAACCGAUUUGGAAGGCUUGGGCACCAUUGAAAGUGAAGGUAUUCAUGUGGUUAGCUGUCAAGAAUCGGCUCUGGACAGCUGCUAGGAGGCAGAGGCGAGGAUUGCAAGAUCAUGCGUGCUGUGGCCUGUGUGACCAGGAAUCAAAGACUGCAGAUCACCUCUUCUCCAGGUGCCCAUUCUCUAUGCAACUGUGGCAUCAAGUCAGUGCAGUACUGAACCUGCACAACGCCAUCCCGGCAAUGAAGUCGAACUGCUAGACUGGUGGCUCAGCAAGAGAAGCGGUGUCCAUUCCGGGCAAACAAAAGGCUUCGAUUCAGCGUUUAUGCUUGUUUCAUGGAAAAUAUGGAAGGAACGCAAUGAAAGGGUGUUUGCAAGAUCACCACCAAAGGAUGCCUCACAACUGCUGCAGGAGAUCAUUCAGGAAGGGCAACUCUGGUGCAAAACACCUAGCUGCCAUAGGCUGGCCGAUACCAUCAGGUGUUUUAGAUCAGCAUUUCUGAUUUCGGCCUUUCUGUGCCAUUUGUGUUGUCGUUGCGGUGGUGUAAUGUAAGCUAAAACAUGCCUAAACCCGUGUGCGUGCGCCCGGAUAGGCCCGUGAUGUACAAAACUUUUUCUUCUUAAUACAAAGAUACACAGCUCUCCUGCGUAUUCACGAAAAAAGAACAUAAAAUACACUAUCGUGCACGAUAUUAAAAUGAAUUAGCGGGAGAAAACCAAAACAACACGUUUUAGUUCAAAUGAACUAGCAAGAGAGCUAACUGUGGCGCCCUCAGCUCCAUCUCCAUCUGCACUGUCUCCUUCUCCUCCGGUUUUGUGGCGCCCGAGCCAUGACCGGCGUGCGCCUCUACUCCGCCCUGAUGACACACCCCUCUGCUCCGCCUGGGCGACGCCCAUCUGCUCCGCCCGGCGGCUUCCUACUGGCGUGGAGGAGCGCAGGGAGGGGAUGGGGCAAGCUUGACCGCGGCUCCCAACCGACGCAAAGGAGCGCGGGGGCGGGGGUGGGGCCGCAGGGGAGCUCCUCCACUCCAAAUCUCCCCCACCGGCGCAACACCCCUCCUCCCUGCCAAAUCUCGCCCGCCACCGCCCCUCCUCAGCCCCUUCGACAUCCGGCGCUGCACCGCCGUAGGAGCGUGAAGCUCCCCGACGUCCCCUCCUCUGUCGGUCUCACCUCCAGCCGCUCCCGUCCUUCCCUCUCCCUGUUGAUCUUGCCUUUCGACCGUCGAGCAAUGGCAAAGGCCAACAAAUCCAGCCACCAUACAAGGUUGAAGAAAAGCCUAACAUAUAAACCCUACAGAAUAGACACUCUAUCCCACCAUUCCAAAAGUUAGGUUGCCAGCUUUCAGAAAGCCACCUUUACAGAGAGCAAAAGCCAAAAGCUCUUUCUGGAAAGUUCAAACAACAUGAGGAAGAGUGAGCUCAAAUGGCCAAAAUAGCAACCGGUCGCGAAAACACAGAAAACCGCGCACACCGGUACAACACGUCGAUCACGCGUUCCAACACGUGGCCUGAUGGAAGUUGAGUACACUAUUGUAUUCGUGCAAUGACUGUCGAUUUUCACUGGACCAAACCAGAGCUGCGGUACUUGCCCGCACGUCAGUACAACAGCUGUCCGUUCCGUUCCGGCCGCCCACGGGACCGGACGGAUAAAGCAGUGUAAUAUUCCUCUGUCCAACCGUGAAUGCAAUUCUAAAUAAUGCAAUUCUAACUACGUAUUUAGAAUUGCACUUUUCCCGGAACGGUAUUUGAAUUUGCACGCCUUCGUGUUUUUGCGUUGUGGUGGGGUCAAAAGUCUUGCGUUGUUCUCGAGUCGUGCUGUUGCGUUGCGGUGGGGGUCAAGCCUCGAAGUCUGAACCCGCAAUUAUGGACGUCGCCACCUCGCUCUUCCCCGUUUGCAGCCCGUUUUCAGAGCUCAGACUUUGAAGAUAACUUUGAAGAUACGAGACGGAAAGGGAGAACGCCUUUUCUCCUUUUUAUUUUCCUUUCCUGGAAUCCUGAAUCGACGACGAACACGACGGGAACCCCGAACGCGACACGGACAACGCGUCCGUCCGUCCGUCCGUCCCUCCUCGUCGCCGUCGGUUUGGCGUCGCCGGUUGGCGGUGUGAACCAAGACCGAGGCAGGCGGCUAGGCGCUGGCCACGUGGAGUGCGGGGCCCGCGUCCACGCACACGCGCACGCCGUUGCCGUUGCCGUGGCUGCUACCCGCCCGCCGCCUCGCGUUCUCCUCGUCGGGUCCGGACGCGUACGGCACACGCUGCGACUGACUGACCUGCUGGCUCUGGCUGGCUGCAGGAAGCAGAAGCCCAAGCCCACACGCCCUCACACUGUCUCUUGUCUCUUCGACUCUUCCAUGUUUUUGCUAUGCUCCCGUUGGCUCCGAACCUGAUAUAAAAUUGUGAAAGACAUAUAGAUUACGAAUAUUAUUAUGAGAGAAAUAAACAAACAAGUGCGAAGAGAAGAAACAAACCGAGUCCUACUGUGCAGAAACAAACAGAGAGGGAUACAACGCCAGCUCAGCAGCUUCGUCCCAGUGUAUCAAACUUUUGCGAUUUCGUUCUUCAGAGCCUGGACAGUGCUUAGUGCCACCCACUUUGCUGUUCUGCGAUCAACACCUCAAGGAGUAUAUUAGGCAACUCCAUUAGUUUAGGAUUGAUUGCAAUCCCAGGAUAAUCUUCCUUUAUCUCUAGGAGAGGCUACUUACCCUCCAAGCUAUGUACUCCUAUAUAAUCGUUCAAAAGGCUCAAGCAACAUAUCCCACGCAUUAUACACAAUUUUACAUGGUAUCACGAGUCUAGGUUACAAAACCUAGGCCUCCAGCUUUCGCUGCCCUCGCGCCGCCCCCGGGGAGAUCAAUCUCCGCCGGGAGCAGCACCCUCGUAGGAUGCGCGGCCGAUCCCUCUGAUUCGCCGUGCCGAUCAUGGUCAAGCAGCAAGUAGAUCGCCCCUCCACUCCUCCUGGCCAUGGCGGCCCCCGGCUACGGCGGGCGUCCCUCCAGGCCGCGCCCCAACGACGGCCCCUGGCGACGGCGGCGGGCGGCCCUCUACUCCUCCAGGCCGUGGCGGCCCCCGGUAGCGGCGGGCGGUCCUCUACUCCUCCAGGCCUCAGCGGCACCCGGCGGUAGCGGGCGCCCCUCUAGUCGCAUCCUAGCGCCACCCCCGACCGCCCCCUCCCCCAACGCUCCGUCGGCACCCUCGACCGGCGCAUCCCGCGGCCCCGACCUCUCCCGACCGCUCCGUCGGCACCUCCGACCGACACAUCCGACUGCACCGACCAGCAUGGAUCGGAGACGCCAGAUCCGACCUGUUCUCCGCCAGUCAGACGGUUCUCCGUGGACCUCUUCCUGCUGCUGCUUUUCUUUUUUCCCGAUCAAGAUCAGGUGCGUCGCCUACUGUCCCGUCGUCGACACUCCCGAAGAUGAGGUUGUCGUUGCGCCCUUCAGGCUGCUACGGCAACGCUCGUGAUCAAGCCAUCCUCGUCGGCAACGCCGCCUUUUUAGACGGUGGCGCCACCCAUGCUGGUAGUCCUCAUCACGCUGACUCUCGGUCCGAGUCCGCACCUAUUGCCACACGCUCACGGACACCGCCGCCGACGUUGCUGAAGGAAGAUGCAAUUGCGCUCUUUAGCUGCACCAUCUACCAUCGCGCUCGGCUCAUCGUCCUGCUGACACUGUCGACAAGAAGCUGCUGCUUUUGUGUAUUUGGGCGCCUUCACUGAUGCUUCGGACCCGUGCCCUUCUCCACGGCUUCGACCACGUCCACCUCGAUCUCGGCUACUUCAGCACUAAGGGGCUACCAUCUGCUUGAGAAGCCUCUUCAGCUCCUAUUCCAGCCACAACAUUUGUGGCGCAUUAACGGUUGCGAUUGCGAGGGGAUGUCAUCUCUUCGGCUUAUUCUCUAGUCUCAUCGUCUGCGUGCUCCCGUUGUGACUGCGAGGGGAUGUUAGAGUAUAUUAGACAACUCCAGAUAUGGUUAGUUUAGGAUUGAUUGUAAUGCUGGGAUAACCUUUCUUAUCUCUAGAGAGGCUACUUGCCCUCCAAACCAUGUACUCCUAUAUAAUCAGCCCAAGAGGCAACAUAUCCCCCGCAUUAUAUGCAAUCUCUAUUGCUUACACAGACACCCGUGAUGGCAGGCUAUCAUAUAACCACCACUAAAAACCAAUAUGAAAUGCGCAACUGCGCCCACUAAGCAAGUAGUAAGCACCAUCAACAUAAUCACUCGACUAAUAACUAGAAUAUGACUACACACCAAAAAGAAGGAAACAGAGAGAUUUUUAGCAUCACUACCUGAAUAAAUCUGAUUGAUAUGCCAUCUUCACAGGAUCAGACAUUCAGGCUAUCCACACCACUCUUCAAAUCACAAUCAUCUUUAUCUUUCCCAAUCCACCAGAAAUCACACGCUGUCCAGUACGCUCUUCGAUCGACUCUUGAAUUCCCGGUCAGCAAGAAGAGCCAAGGUCCAUCACGCACCUGUGGAAGAACCGGGGCCAUGGAAGGCAGCUGCGAGCGUACGCGUCACUGCAUCAGCAGCAAGGAUUAAGCACAAAGCAAACGCCUCGGGCCAAGGCAAAGUCGACGAAUUGAAUCAGACGACCAAGAAUAGGGGCGCCAGGUCACCCUCACCCACCACCUACUAUUACCCUGCGCCUUUUUCUUAUUUUCUUGCCUCCACCUGGGCCUUUCAUUUUCCAAGCAAUGUCCACACCUUGACCGCGACGCCGAUGAUUGCUCUAAAGUAUUGUACGUGCCUCCUGGAAAUGAUGCUCUCCGUGUACUGAAUCUUGCAGAUCUUCAGUUUCUUUCGAAAAAUUCGCUCCUUUUCCUGUUCACCAAAAAGGGUGCAUCAUCCUACAAAAUAAAUAGUGCAUCACAGAGUGAUCCUUUGUCAGUACUAAUACUAUGGUUAAGACAACAGGUUCGUUAAGUGAAGCUGGUAGGACAAGUGAUGGCAGAUCAUGUGAUCAGGUAAAAUAAGGCAGGCUGUGCGUUAUGUGUGAACAUGGUAGGACAAGUGACGUCACUAUAUCAGAUCAGGCAAAUCACGGCAGUGAUUCAACAAGGAUUGAUUCAAGGAUGACUAGAAAAAGCAAAUAUUUCGUAGGGUCAGUUGGACUUCUUUUAUGGAUUACAGCAGGUAGCCACCAGUGAAGCAAUACAAGUGUGAACAACAAACUGCUGCUUUGUCUAUUCUAUACUGCAUUAAAAACGUACAAUGAUACUGAGGAUUCUCCUAUAGUAGCAUAUGAUCCUUGACUUCAUUUUUUCUUUGUAGUGACCACGACUAGAAGGGAUCAGCAAGAUGGAGGCAGGAGCCACCUCCUUCUUCUACCUUAUGCUCUUCCCUGAUUAGACUCAGAACAUUGGUAUCUCAUCUAGACAGGAAACAAGUUAAGCGUCUGGUUUCCAUGCUACUUUCAACAGGAAGCCAUGCAGCCACUCCAAUUUCCAUACAAGAACUACAGCAGUAGGUUACCCAUACCUUCCCUUGGCUUUGCUGCUCUGCUGCUGAUCUCUUUGGCCACCCUCACCAGCUCUUGCACAGAGCAGGAGAAGAACUCCCUCCUCCAGUUCGUCUCUGGGCUCUCACAGGAUGCUGGCCUUGCAAAGUUAUGGCAGGAAGACACAGAUUGCUGCAAUUGGGAAGGCAUCACCUGCAACGGAAACAAAACAGUUAUUGAUGUCUCUCUAGCAUCUAGAGGCCUUGAGGGGCACAUAUCACAAUCCCUUGGGAACCUCACCGGACUGCAGCAGGUUAACUUGUCCUACAAUUCGCUGUCUGGUGGCCUGCCGCUGGGAUUGGUGUCAUCCAGCAGCAUCAUUGUCCUCGAUGUGAGCUUCAACCAGCUCAACGGAGACCUGCACGAGUUGCCUUCUUCAAUCCCUGGACGGCCUCUACAGGUACUUAAUAUCUCAAGCAACUUGUUUACUGGGCAGUUUGCAUCCACUACAUGGAAGGGGAUGCAGAAUUUGAUUGCACUCAAUGCCAGCAACAAUAGCUUUACUGGGCAUAUUCCAAGUCAUUUCUGUAACAUAUCACCAUCCUUUAGUGUGCUUGAACUCUCUUACAACAAACUCAGUGGUAGUAUCCCCCCAGGACUCGGUAAUUGCUCCAAACUCAGAGUGCUCAAGGCUGGGCACAAUUACCUCAGUGGGACGCUCCCUGAAGAACUCUUCAAGGCUACCUUGUUGGAGCAUCUUUCUUUUUCCAGCAAUGGUUUACAAGGGAUACUUGAUAGCACACAUAUAGUCAAACUCGGAAAAAUGGCCAUCCUUGAUCUUGGAGAAAACAAAUUCAGCGGAAUGAUUCCGGACUCCAUAGGUCAGCUCACGAGAUUGCAGGAACUCCAUUUGGACUACAACAGCAUGUCUGGGGAGCUGCCAUCAACCUUGAGCAACUGCACAAAUCUCAUAACACUUGACCUUAAGAGCAACAAUUUCAGUGGUGAACUCAACAAGGUCGGUUUCUCCAACUUCCCCACUCUAAAAACCUUAGAUCUUAUGCGGAACAACUUCAGUGGCACAAUUCCAGAAAGCAUAUACUCAUGCAGAAACCUGAUUGCACUACGGCUGUCUUCAAAUAAGUUCCAUGGACAGUUAUCAAAAGGACUCGGCAAUCUGAAAUCCCUCUCCUUC